GCCUCUGUGGCGGAAUGGUAGACGCGGCAGACUCAAAAUCUGCUAUUCCUAGAAUGUGAGAGUUCGAAUCUCUCCGGAGGUA
rnacentral:tRNA from 1 species